rnacentral:rRNA from 1 species
UACAGAGGUCUCAAGCGUUGUUCGGAUUCAUUGGGCGUAAAGGGUGCGUAGGCGGCGCGGUAAGUCGGGUGUGAAAUCUUGGAGCUUAACUCCGAAACUGCAUUCGAUACUGCCGUGCUUGAGGACUGGAGAGGAGACUGGAAUUUACGGUGUAGCGGUGAAAUGCGUAGAUAUCGUGAGGAAGACCAGUGGCGAAGGCGGAUCUCUGGACAGCUCCUGACGCUGAGGCGCGAAGGCUAGGGGAGCAAACGGG